rnacentral:lncRNA from 1 species
UGAGUUUUCCAAUUCAUCCAGAACAGGUUAAGCUUUGGUUUUCUUAUUCAAAUGCUGAUUGACAUAUUAUUCCUUCACUCCUAGAUUUGCUUGAAGCUAAAACAUGCUACUUCUGAGAUCUUCCAGCAAACUACUGCCACUUUCCAUUUCCUAUUAUACAUGCUAAAAGCCCAUAUCUCCUCCAUGAAUCCGUUUGAUAAGAGCCAAAAUCUAUUUCAUAGCCCCUACUAUUUUAUUUAUUUUUCAUAAAUCUCCAGAAAAUAAACCCAUUUUGAGCAAAUACACAAGACUUCAAAGAUAUUAUCACAAGCACCAGGGUGUCAGCAGAGCAGCCAAAAUUAGGAGAUCAAAGAAAAGACUCCAGCGUAAGUUAUCCUGACUUAUUGCCCGAUACUCUUGCUAGAAAUCUAGGAAAACUCACAGAUCAGAGCAAGAAGACAUGGUCAUGAUGCAAUAGCCAUUACUAAUUUUGCGCAUAGAUGCUGCAAGCAAUUCUGAGGAGGGUGUGUCUGAUGCUUCUAUGCCAUCAAUCUAAAAGAUUAACUCCAAAAUGGUCAUAGAAAUAGUAAACCUGAGAAGUGACCAGCAAACCUAAUUGGGCAAUGGGAAUAGUGGGUUUCAAAGAAAGAAAUCAAACUCACCUCUUCCUCUACUUGUUUCUGGAUGUCAGGGCUUUGCUGUAAAGGCGUGCAAUUGGCAGCAAGUAAACAAGUCUUCCCCUUCUUGCUCCUCCACGCUACUGCUACCGUUGCUGCUGAACUCGAGCCCGCUGAUGAAGGGGAACGCCGCAACCAACGGUGGAGAUUCAUCGACCUGCUCGGACUCCAAACCGCCAUUUCUUUUCCUAUCCCCCUCCCGUGGAUGAUGCUGGGGUGAAGGAAUGGAAAUGGGACCCAUCAAUCCUCUGCGUUUGCUUACCAACCCUCUGGAUUCAUUAAUUUUAUGUGAUGGACCUCGUUUUGUUUCUCGCCCGAAUCAAACGGUUGGAAUCCAACCUGAAACCAAGCAAUCUACUCUAUCCCAAAGCCAAUUACAACUACACCCAAAAUAGACGGAAAAGAAACCCAGCCCCCUCCGCGCACACGGACACACCCCCACUUUGUUGCCCGCGCGCGCGCGCAUACAAAAGCUCUACCAGAGCCGGUUCGCGGGGGGACGGAGGCGCAGCACGGCCACAGAGAAGGGCACGCUGCAGCAGUCC